AUUGAACGCUGGCGGCAGGCUUAACACAUGCAAGUCGAGCGGAGAUGAGGUGCUUGCACCUUAUCUUAGCGGCGGACGGGUGAGUAAUGCUUAGGAAUCUGCCUAUUAGUGGGGGACAACAUUCCGAAAGGAAUGCUAAUACCGCAUACGUCCUACGGGAGAAAGCAGGGGAUCUUCGGACCUUGCGCUAAUAGAUGAGCCUAAGUCGGAUUAGCUAGUUGGUGGGGUAAAGGCCUACCAAGGCGACGAUCUGUAGCGGGUCUGAGAGGAUGAUCCGCCACACUGGGACUGAGACACGGCCCAGACUCCUACGGGAGGCAGCAGUGGGGAAUAUUGGACAAUGGGGGAAACCCUGAUCCAGCCAUGCCGCGUGUGUGAAGAAGGCCUUUUGGUUGUAAAGCACUUUAAGCGAGGAGGAGGCUACCGAGAUUAAUACUCUUGGAUAGUGGACGUUACUCGCAGAAUAAGCACCGGCUAACUCUGUGCCAGCAGCCGCGGUAAUAC
rnacentral:rRNA from 1 species